UCUAUCUGCAGCAUCAGCGAGAAAGCCCAGCUCGGCGCAGGCUCAGUGCUCUCCGCCGCAGUCCCGGACGGAGGAGGGGGGCUCGGGAGCGCAGCAUCUUCGCAGCGGGUUAAGUAGGAUUAGUACCAAAUCCCUAUUAUAUUUGCCAAGCAACUUGAAUUUGUCAAAAUUCCCCCUCGCUGUUCUGGAGCUCCGCGAGGAGGAAAUUUUGCUCACAGUGUAAGAUCCAGACAUGCCAGUACGUAGGAAUACCGGCAUACUGCAUUACACUGGCUCCCUGCGCUGGAAAUGCAACUGCGAACCGCAGGUCCCGCUGUUCCCGUCCCUUUGUGUUUUUAAACGCAGCCAGGAAACUUAAUGUAUUCGCCAGGGAAGGGGCGGGAUGAGAGCGUUUUUAACCUCCCCGCCAUAAACUUUAAUCGGAUUCCAGGCUGUUGCACGGCAUGGACGCUCGCCUUCUUGCCUGCGUCUCCUUCCCCGUUGUUUCUACUACGGUCUCCUUGCGAGUGCCUCUUUCAAGCGAAUGAGUGAUUUCUUUCUCUUGCCGUGUGCAAUUGCUCCCCCUUCCUUCCCUACCCUCGCUGGCCUCUCUUACACACACUAUGCCUUUCACACGCGGUCUGCGCCCCCCCAGCCCCCCCCUCCUUUCCUUCUCUUUUGCAGUGUCUUCACAUGCAAUCUCCCUCUGAAUGUGCAAUGUCUUUCCUGCUCGGGAGUGCUGCGUCCUUCACAGUGGAUUGGUUCCUCUUUCGGAGCAGAGAAUAGUGAGGCCAGCAGACCAGGGAAGUGAUUGUCCCCCUGUGGGUGUCACCAGUGAGGCCAGACCUCAGGUACUGCAUCCAGUUCUGGGAUCUUCGGUACAAGAAAGACCUUGAGGGGCUGGAGCAGUUCUGGAGAGGGGCAAUGGAGCUGGGGAAGGGGCUGGAGGCCAGCAGCAGGACAAGAGGACACACACUCGAGCUGUGCCAGAAGGGAGGCUGGACAUCAGAAAGGGUUGCUAAACACUGGAAUGGACUGCCCAGGAACCUGGUGGAGCCACCCUACAUGGAGGUGUUCAAGAAAUAGCUGGGUGUGACAUUUAGAGCCAUUCUCUAGCUGAAAAGGAGAUGAUCAGUCAAAGGCUGGACUUGAUGAUCUCAGAGGUCUUUUCCAACCUAAAUGAUUCUGUGAUUCUGUUCAAUUACUUAUUCUUAGCUUCAAAAAUGAUUUUGAAACUUUGCAUUCUAAACCCAUUAAAAAAAGCCUUAUUGAAACAUUAUUUCCUCUCUUCUCUUUCCCUGUUGAAACUAAUACCUUUACUAAAAAUUAUUGUUCUAGUCUCUUCAGAUAUAUGCAUUAACAUCUUCAGAAUUCUGCAGUGGAGGUUAUCUGGAAUACUGGCUUAUACUAUUUUGUAGUCUUUGAAUUAAUUUUAUUUCAGAUGUGGUAAUUUUUGUUCUAUGACUUUGCUUGCAUUGAUCACUUUGCUCAUUUCAACAUCACAAUCCUUAUUGGGACCUGAAACCAUGUACACAAUUUAUUUGGGUAUCUCUAAGUAAAUAAUUAUAAUUUUACUUAUCUUUGUGUUUUUUGCACAUUCUGCAGAAGUGGAGCCAUGCUUUCUUAGCAAUUUUUGAAUAAGAUCUAAAGGUUUAUAUUUGACACUUUAUUAAAGAGUACAAGGUGUAA